rnacentral:rRNA from 1 species
GAGUUUGAUCGUGGCUCAGAUUGAACGCCGGCGGCAUGCCUUACACAUGCAAGUCGAACGGCAGCACGGGAGCUUGCUCCUGGUGGCGAGUGGCGAACGGGUGAGUAAUGCAUCGGAACGUAUCCUGGAGUGGGGGAUAACGUAGCGAAAGUUACGCUAAUACCGCAUAUUCUGUGAGCAGGAAAGCGGGGGACCUUCGGGCCUCGCGCUCUUGGAGCGGCCGAUGUCGGAUUAGCUAGUUGGUGAGGUAAAGGCUCACCAAGGCGACGAUCCGUAGCAGGUCUGAGAGGAUGAUCUGCCACACUGGAACUGAGACACGGUCCAGACUCCUACGGGAGGCAGCAGUGGGGAAUUUUGGACAAUGGGGGCAACCCUGAUCCAGCCAUGCCGCGUGAGUGAAGAAGGCCUCGGUU